GGAAAGAGGAGAUGGUACAACAAAAUAUUGAACUUCUAUAUAUCUGUAGAGAUUCUGGGGAGAAUGAGACAGCUGUAGAGCGGCAGGAAAGGUGAAGGGUAGAAGUGCAGUUAUUGCUCAGUUUCCAGAACGGUAACUGCAACCAAGGCACAUGCCUGAAACAUAAUGGCAAAACUCAAAACAAGGGUCUCUGGAGGAACUUGCAUCAAAGGGCUGAUGCAAAGUCAAAUAAUAUUUAGCACUCAUACAUCGAGCAAUAUCCUGUACUGAUCAUAUAUCUGAAAGACCUUCACCAUCCCUACCAACUUUCUCAGGUGCUAAGAUCUUCUGAGUGGGCUCUCCUAAAAGUUCCACCAUCCCUGAAAGUUCCCAUUUACAAGGAAUGGUGGCCUGGAAUUGUGGAACUCCUUCUUGCCCUCCCCACAGAGGUGCAUCUAGCAUCUUCAUUGCACAGCUUUCGCCAUAAGCUGAAGACACAUCUCUUUACUCUGGCCUUUGAGAGUUAAUGUACUUUGUUUUGUGGGACCCUUCUCUUUUUCUAACUUAAUAUUGUUCUAUUCCACUGUUUUAGGAGUUUUAUAAUUGCAAUGGUUUUAUCUGUUUUUAUAAUUUUAUAUUCUAUUGUUCUAACCCACCGUGGGACUUUAUGGUGAA